ACAAAAAUUACACAGAUGUGAUUAAUGUUUUUACAUUAUAGUUUUUACUGCUUAAAAAUUUGAGCCUGUGUUAGCUCAGGCACUUUAGUUUAUAUAAUGAUAUACUACUACAAGCUAGGCUGAACUUCCUAACAUUAAGUUACAAUCUACCAUAUGAUCAUUCUUAACAAAGUGGUGAAGGCCGAUGAGAACCGAAUUUAGCGAACCAACGAUUCUGGUAUGCAUUAGGGGCUACUGCAGGCUGUUGCUUGUAUGAAGACAUUUCUGGUGCUGCAUAGCGCGGUAGAUUAGCCUGGCCAAACUCUUCAAAUCUGAUGUUUGGUGAUGAAGUGCAUUGCUGCUGGACUAUCUUCUGAGAGCAUAACUCGUCCCCUAUCGG
rnacentral:misc_RNA from 1 species